AAAGCAGGCUGCCCUAGCCAGCAGUGGCAACCCCCUCGGGUCCCCUUCCACAUUGUGGAAGCUUUGUUCUUUCACUCUUUGGGUCCACACUGCUUUUAUGAGCUGUAACACUCACCGCAAAAGUCUGCAGCUUCACUCCUGAGCCAGCGAGACCACGAGCCCACCGGGAGGAACGAACAACUCCAGACGCGCCGCCUUAAGAGCUGUAACACUCACCGUGAAGGUCUGCAGCUUCACUCCUGAGCCAGCGAGAACCACGAACCCACCAGAAGGAAGAAACUCCGAACACAUCGGAACAUCAGAAGGAACAAACUCCAGACGCGCCACCUUAAGAGCUAUAACACUCACCGCAAGGGUCCGCGGCUUCAUUCUUGAAGUCAGCGAGACCAAGAACCCACCAAUUCCGGACACACCAUGGCCACGAAAAUUCAGGCUCAUAAACAAUUUGAAUGCAAAGCAGCUCUUACAACAUUGGCCCUCAAAGAGCCUCAUCUGCCACAAAUAAAUCAGCUCUUCAAGACAACAGAGCAAUAUGACUGAGCCACAGCUAGUAUCAUACUGAAUGAAGAAAAACCGAAAGCCUUUCCUCUGAGAUCUGGAACAAGACAAGUAUGCCCACUUUUACCACUGGUACUGAACAUAGAACUGGAAGUCCUAAGUAGGGAAAUCAUACAGGAGGAAAAAAUGAAGGACAUCAAAAUUCAAAAAGAAGAAUUCAAGUUAUAGUUGCUUGCAAAUGAUAUGAUUUAUAUUUGGAAAAACCUAAAGACUCCACAAGAAAACUAUUAGAACUGAUAAAUUCAGUAAAUUUGCAGGAUACAAAAUCAACAUACAAAUAUCAGUAGCAUUUCUAUAUGCCAACAGUGAACAAUCUACAAAAGAAAUCAUGAAAGUAAUCCCAUUAACAAUAGCUACAAAUAAAAUGAAACUCCUAGGAAGAAACUUAAUCAAAGAAAUAAAGAUGCCACAAUGAAAACUAUAAAACAUUGAUGCAAGAAAUUGGAGAAAACACAAAAAAAGUAAAGAUAUUCCAUCUUCAUGAAUUGGAAGACUGAAUAUUGUUAAAAUGUCCAUGCUACCCAAAGCAGUCUACAGAUUCAAUGUAAUUAUUGUCAAAAUACCAAUGACAUUCUUCACAGAAAUAGAAAAAAAAUUUCUAAAAUUUAUAUGGAACUGCAAAAGACUGAGAAUAGCCAAAGUUAUCCUGAGCAGAAAGAACAAAACUGGAGGAAUCACAUUAUCUGAUAAUAUGGUUUCGCUCUGUGUCCCCACUCACAUCUCAUCUUGAAUUGUAAUCCCCAUAAUCGCCACAUGUCCAGGGAGAGACCUGGUGGAAACGACUGGAUCAUAGGGGCAGUUAUCUCGAUGCUGUCUUCAUGAUAGUGAAUUCUUAUGAGAUCUGAUGGUUUUAUAAGUGUUUGACAGUUCCUCCUUCACAUACUCUUUCUUGCCUGCCACCAUGUAAGAUGUGCCUGCUUCCCCUUCUUCCAUGAUUGUAAGUUUCCUGAGGCCUCCCCGGCCAUGCAGAACUCUGAGUCAAUUAAACCUCUUUUCUUUAUAAAUUACCCAGUCUCGGGCACUUCUUUAUAGCUGUCUGAGAAUGGACUAAUACACCUGACUUCAAAGUAUACUACAGAGCUAGAGUAACCAAAACGGCAUAGUAAUGGCAUAAAAACAGACA
rnacentral:lncRNA from 10 species